AGCAAACACUGGGCUUGUUCCGACAUUGCAGCCGACUGACUGAUCUACAAAUCACCUUGCAUCAUAAAUACCGAUAUUAUUAUUUGUAGAUCAGUCAGUAAGCAUUUGCUUCACGGUUUUGAUGCUCCCGAACAACGGCUUUUAAGAGAAACAGAAAGUUGACCGAACUACGGUUGUUGUUACGGUAGAAACGACGCUGUUACCCAGCGCUCACCUCCAUCAUUCUGAACUCUUUUGACUGAACACCGUUUUGAACCCACGUUCUUGCUGCAUGCUGCUUGCACGGUUUCUACGAAGGUACCGUAAACUUCCCAUCUUUCUCUCUAUUUCCCUCUUUCUCCUCCCCCUCCUGACCUCACUCUCUUCCUCCCCCUCUGUCUUUUCCCUUCCUCCAUCAGGAUGUCAUCUCUUCCCCGACCUCGUCAUGUGAUCUGGGAGACAGAGGAGCUGGUGGCCUACCUCCACCCCCAGCCCUGGACCCCAGGCACUACCAUCCUGGAGCCGAAGACCCCCAGGGGCCCAGAUGAGGAACCAAGCCCAGCUCAGGGCAGUCUCUUCAGGCUGGGUGAGGGAGCCUACCUGAGGUUGCUGCUGGGGGCCAGGGAGGUGGGGGCCCUGCUGUGUGAGAGGCUGGGGGUGAAGAGAUGUGCCCUGGUCUGCAGGCCCCACCCAGACAGUAACAGUCCACCCCAGAUCCGGGUGCUGCCGCUACACGGCCUUGACAGCGAGUGGCGCCCCCACCUGGCGGGAGAUGAGCACUACACCCACCACGACCCCGGCUACGUCACCUCUAAAAGCGGCCCUCGCUGGACUGACACGUCCCUCCAGGAGAUCCAGGCCGAGAUCCGGGCCCAGCUCCCUUCCCCCAAUGCCCUACCAAACCUCACCUUCCUGGGGGAAGACCCAUCGCACCCCAGCCUCUUCUCCCGGAUCGUCCGUGGAGAGGAGCAGCAGUGGAGGGUGUGGGAGGAUGAGGGACACGUGGCAUUCCUCACCCCCUUUCCCAACGCCCCCGGUCUCACCGUACUGGUCCCCCGUCGACCGCUGACCUCGGAUAUAUUUCGACUUGAAGAGGCAGAUUAUACGAGUUUGGUACUGGCAACCCAGAAGGUGGCCAGGGUUUUGGAAGAGGGUCUUGGAGCGUGGGGGGUGGGGUUGAUAUUCGAGGGGUUUGAGAUUGACUAUGCUCAUGCUAAAUUGAUACCUCUGCUCUCUCCGCCCUCCUCUCACCAGGUUGAUGGGGGCUCCACCACCACCACUGGCUCUCUACCACCUCAGGCCCAGUUUAGUGCCACCUAUCCUGGGUUUGUGACCUCUGAGGAUGGCCCUGAGGCCAGCCUGGAGUGUUUGAAGGAGUUACAGGCCAAAAUCACACAGUAAUGAUGAUGUAAUGUAUUGACAUGUUAUGAAAUAUGUAUGUAAUUGCAUAUUAUGAAGGACCUGAAACUGGGUGAUUAUAGUAUUGAUGUAUUGCACUUGACUACAUACAUUCCUAUUGGUUGACUUGGUAAUGUGAGAGCUUUUUUUCAAUAUGAAGCCUGUUGCUUCAUGUACAUACUGAUUUGGUACCAAAUUCUGUAGAUGUGACUGUUUCUGUCAUUUUAUUAUGAACUUGAAAUAGGACAAUCAAGAGCUUUAUUUGAUAAACAUGGUACUGUAAGGGUUUUAAAUAUAUCCUUUGAUAAGUACUUAACAGUAGCAUGGAAAUAUACAUGAUUGUUUGAUCAAAAUAAACAUGUGAUUUCUAUUAUGUUUUGUAAAGUGUAUUUUCAGAUGCUAUUUCUAAGAGCACAACAGGCUGAGAAAACGGAAAGAAAUGAACCGCCGUCUUUCAUUGUCAAAUGUUACAAUACAUAUGUCAUUACCCCUCUAAUUGUAUUAAAUUAGUACAAACGACCAUGAAACCAAGCACCAUAUCGGGCAGUUCACCCAAAUUACAAAAUGAAGUAUUGAAUUCCUUCAAAGGUUUACAUUUGAAGCAGGGGCCAGAGUUUUUUUUUUUUCUUACCCGGUAAGCAAUGUAAUUUAGUGAACUAUCAUAUUACAUAUGCUUCAGUCAUUUCAUUGAAUCAUCACCCAGCGUUCAAUUAUGUUUUGCGGGAUCUAUUUACAGAGUUCAGCACUCGCAACACAUCUGCAUAGUCCCCUAACGAGGUCUUAAGAUCUCUGCCUAACAAGGCUUCUAAUUGGUCCCUCAGUGUUUCAAUUAAGAGGUUGAAUUAAUGAGCAGUUAAGUGGUUAAUUAGUGGGUUAUAAACAGGGCAUUACCCGAGGCUAUUGUUAUACAAAGACUGAGGCUACAUCUCAAUACUCUUUCCAUGGUUACUAGAGAAACAGUCUGGGGCUUCAUUUCAAUACUCUUUCCAUGGUUACUAGAGAAACAAAUGGGUAAGGAUAGGAUUGAGGGAGGGGAAGCUGAUCCUAGAUCUUUACCUAGGGGAAACUUCAACCCGGAGCAUCGCUUCAUUUCUUUCAGUGCCCCAAACAGGUGAAAGGGCUUAAAAGACAUGUCAUCCUUUGACAACAAACAUGAUCUUGAAGGCAAUAUUAUUAGGGUCUUGUUCAUUAAUGAACACAUAUCUAAA
ensembl:lncRNA